GUACACGCUGUGACUAGCAUAUCAAUAAGCGGAGGAAAAGAAACUAACAAGGAUUCCCCUAGUAACGGCGAGUGAAGCGGGAAGAGCUCAAAUUUGAAAUCUUAAAGGGUUUCCCUUUACGAAUUGUAGUUUAAAGAAGUGUUUUCUGUUGAGGUUUUGGUAAAGUUCUUUGGAAUAGGACAUCAUAGAGGGUGAGAAUCCCGUAUUUGACCUUUACUUUCAACUUUGUGAUACACUUUCAAAGAGUCGGAUUGUUUGGGAAUGCAGUCCAAAAUGGGUGGUAAAUUUCAUCUAAAGCUAAAUAUUGGCGAGAGACCGAUAGCGAACAAGUACCGUGAGGGAAAGAUGAAAAGAACUUUGAAAAGAGAGUUAAACAGUACGUGAAAUUGUCAAAAGGGAAGCGUUUGACACCAGUGUUGUUUUUCUGAAAAUCAAUUAAAGAACUGUUUAUGCUAAGCUGUUUAGACUUUAUCAGCUAUCUGUUUAGUUUUGAGCUUUUCUUUAAUGCACUUUUCAGUUAACAAGUCAACAUCAAUUUCUUUUGCUGUAAAAAAGCUUGAGGAAGGUGGCUUGAGAUUCGUCUUAAGUGUUUAUAGCCUCUUGCCUAUGCAGUCGGAGAGAUUGAGGUCUGCAGCGUAGAUCCUUCGGGGCUAAAUGCAUUUGUGCUAAGUUAUAGCAUUUCAUAGACAACUUGUUGACUAUGAUUUGUCUUGUAGCUUACUCGCUUAUGUUAUUUUACCUACGCUUAGGAUGUUGACGAGACUGUCGAUCUC
rnacentral:rRNA from 1 species